CUUCUCCUUCCUUCAGUUUCUUUUGGGCAAAAAUAGGGGACCGUGUGGUCCCUCCCAUGUUCGACGGAUCAGAGGCCGUGGCUAGUGCGGCGGUGACCGACGACAGGAGGGCUACAAUACUGCAGCCCAAAGGAAGCCAAACUGACGGUCGGCGGUGACUACCGGCAUCAAAAAAUCAAAGAAAAAGAGGGGCGAAACAGUCC
rnacentral:lncRNA from 1 species